rnacentral:rRNA from 1 species
CCUACGGGUGGCAGCAGUAGGGAAUAUUGCUCAAUGGGGGAAACCCUGAAGCAGCAACGCCGCGUGGAGGAUGAAGGUUUUCGGAUUGUAAACUCCUUUUGUUAGAGAAGAAAAUGACGGUAUCUAACGAAUAAGCACCGGCUAACUCCGUGCCAGCAGCCGCGGUAAUACGGAGGGUGCCAGCGUUACUCGGAAGCACUGGGCGUAAAGAGCGCGUAGGCGGGAUAGCAAGUCAGAUGUGAAAUCCUAGGGCUUAACCAUAGAACUGCAUUUGAAACUGUUAUUCUGAGGUAUGGGGGAGGUAGGUGGAAGUCUUGGGGUGAGGGUAAAAGCCGUAGAGAUCAGGAGAAAUACUCAU